UCAUCCAGCUCCAGGCCAUUGGCACCGUCUCCGGGCCGCUGAACCUAUGGUGGGUCUUGCUGGCGACCGUGGGGCGCCGCGACCUGCCAUUCUUGAGCGGGUCUGAGCGAUGAGGCCUGAGUACACCGUACAGCUGCGUUCCUGGGAGGCCUGAGGGGAUGACGACAGGGUCUGUGGAGGCCCCUAGUGAGGGCCCCCGAGCAGGUUGUGGCACCAGGUGGGACUCGGGGUCAGGGGUUGCCUUCCUCUCCCCAGUCACUUGAGAGUGGUGUCGGUUUGAGGUCUGGACUCCAGCCAAGAUUUCACAGCAUCCUCUUGCCCCUGGUGUCUCUUCCUUGGAGCCACUGUAUGUGAACCCACUCUCCACGGUGGCCACCCUGCUCCUGGCUGGUCACAGUCACAUUUCCCAGUGUGGAUUUGGAAAGAUGCUGCCUUUGGAGAAGGCAUAUGCCACCCCUAGAAGCUCCCCCAACUCCCACAAAACUGCCCACACCAGGAUUGGCAACUGGGGACCAGAAUGAGGAACCCCAGGAGGAACUCAAGACCAUCUGUGGGAGGACCCCUGCUGACCUCAAGGUCUCCUACCUGCAUUUCUGGAACUUCACCCACCAGGCCCUGUCCCAGUUCCACGAGCUAUGCCGCUAGUGGCUGCAGCCUGAGGUACAUUCCAAAGGAGUAGGUUCUGGAGCAGUUCCUAAACAUCCUGCUUGAUGAUGUUUGGCCCUGGAUGAUGGCACACUGUCCUGAGAGCAUCAAGAAGGCGGCCUUCCUGGUGGAGGAUCUCACCAAGGCCCUAGAGGAGUCCAGGUAGGCUGGCAAGGGCCAGUGAAGACCAGAAUCCCAAUGAGACCCAGUAACCCCCUGAAACCUGUGAGUGACCAGCCAGCCCUUGGGCGGGUGUGGUGAGCCAUGAUCUGUGACGGAGAGGGCAGGAGGGAGACGCUGUGCAGGAAUUAUGGGAGCUAAAGGAAGGCCAAAGUAACCGAGGCUUGGAGAUCCUGUUGUAAUAUUGAUUUCUCCCUUUAGGUGGCUCCGGUGAAAGUGACAAGUAUUACUUUUAAUUCAAUUCCUCUUCAGAGAUUAUGCAAAUCAUAGUUCUUAUCACAAACAGUGAGAGGCAUUUAGGUAUAUAAAAAAAAUAAUGUCCCUACUCUCUCAUACCCGCUAAAAAUAAAACCAAAUGACAGGCUUGGGGUGGGGCCCUUCGUGUUUCUGGUGUCUCAUUGUGGGCCUGUGCGGAGGGUUUGUGGCCGGUUUCCCUGGAGACGAUGUGAUGGUGCCUGAGCGCAUGCUGUCCCCACAACCACCCCUCAGUCACCCUGGUCCCUCUGGGUGGUGAGCAGAGAUCCAGUGCUGUCUCUUCCCUACUUUCAUGGCGUUUCAUGGGACCGCUGUUUGUCAUCCUGGAGUGAGAAUUCAUGCCAUUAUGGUUCCUGCCCCUUCCUGCAAAGCUCUGCAGUAAAACGCCCUCAGGUGGGUGCUGGAUAUGGAAGGUGGGCUCCUCGGGAUCAUUGGACAAAGGGCUUUUCCACAUGGCUUCCCCAAGUUUUGUAGCAUAUGUGGUGCUGGUGUACCAGAGUGCCCAUUUCCCCACAUCUGUGCCUGCACUGCACAUUGUUGCAUUUUAAGGUGUCCACCUUAAGGUGAAAAGUAUUACUUCCUUUGUGACUUUGGUUCAAAUUUCUGGGGCCACCACUGAACUUUUUUAUUUAUUUUUAGCCACUCUGCUCUGUCAAUUGAGGAUAGAUAUGGGGUCAGUUGAGCCUUGGGACCUGCUGUGACAAGAGAACUUGUCUGAGAACUCUACACUCUCCCCCUGGGAUCUGUGUGGGAGAGGCGGUGGGGUCUCCCUGACUGGUUUGGGGAUGCCUCAGCUUUGCAUUCCCUUCUCCCCAGCCUGUCCGGCCCCAGACCCCAUGCUUCUGGAACAGGGAAGCAUUUGGGGGGAGACAGAAGAGGUCAAGCCCAUAAAAUCUGAGCUGAAGGUGGGUGGGGGCUGCCUUGUCCAGGACUCCUACCAACAGGUACUCCUUGCCUUGCCCGGCCCCCUGCCCACAGCCCCGUCCCCGUUCCCAUGCUCCUUGCACUUGACUGAGGUUGUGUUGCCCUUGCGGCCUUGCAGAUGCUUUUCCCUCUGCCCAGGAGGCAAUCCCUCAGACUUUCUGGGACUUGUGGCAGUGUCACCAGUGGGCCACCCACUUUGUCUUUUUCAUGGCCUCUGUCAGGCAUGUCCUUCUGUCUCUUCUGGGGGCAGCGAGCAUAGCUUUCCUGCUUCUGCUGCCUCCUGGGUGCGGGCCCGGAGCCUCGUGUAGUGAUGGAGGAAACUUUGGGGUUCUCUACAGCAGAGGCUCUCAACCAGGGGUGGUUUUGCCCCCACCUAGGGGACACUUGGCAGUGGCUGGAGACAGCUUUGGUUGUCAGUAUUGGGAGUGGGUGCUACUGGCAUCUAGAGUGAAGAGGCCAUGGAAGCUGUGAAGUAUCCUGCAAAGCCCGGGACAGGCUCUGCCCACCACAAAGAAUGUUCGUAGUGGUGAGGCGGAGAGCACCUGCUCUCGUGUUAACCCAGGGGUUGGGUCCAGGGAAGCCUGGGGUCCUUUGGCAGAAGCUGCCAGGUGGUGGAUAGGAGCCCCAGGACAGUGCCACCACUGGUGUGCUCGCUGUGGUCAUGGGACCAAGGUCUGGAUGGGAGGCCUCAGCUAGGGCUGCGCUGCCAUUUCAGAAGCUGAAGUUUCCAGAGGUGCCUCUGUACCUGGGGGUACGGGGCCACCUGGACCCAGUGGAGGAGAACCUGAAUACCUACAGGAAACUGCUCCUGUGGGGUGAGACCUGCCUCCCCGUUCCCCACCCUCCAUCCUCUUCCAAAACUGUUGGCCUGGGGGACUCUGAUUCGUGGGGCUUUGGUUGGGACACCACAGUGUUUUAAAUGUCUUUGAAGUGACCUUGAACGAGUUUGCCAAGAUUCACGCCCUUCUUGGUCUAUGCAUUUCAGUCCUGGGCCUUUGAGUUUUCAGCCCCUGCCUUUAAGACCUGAAGCUUCCCAAUUUGGAAAGGCCUCUGGCCCCAAGGCGUUGACUUUCCCAUCUUCUUUGGGAUGGGACGAAGCUUAUCCGCUUUCAUGGGUCUUCCCUCUCUUGUAUGGACAUCUGUGCUUCAGAAAUUCUCCAUAGGGAGGCCCCAACAGACUUCUGAGCUUUUAUAGUUUUAAUUUUACAUUCCUUUUUUUUUAAAUUGGGGAAUUGGGGGAAGGGAACAGUGUUGGGGAAU